CACCUGUUGAUGCCGGCUGCGUUCACGAGGUAGGAGACGCCCCCGCACGAUCUGUGGAUGCCGUCGAAGGUUUCCUGCACCUGCUGCUCUUCGGAGACGUCACAGCUGAAAGCCACGUGGUCGCCUGGAGCGCAGACACAGGACGCCACGGUAGCCUGUGCGGCGUCUUUGUUCCUGGAGACGACAGCCACCCUGCAGCCUCGGUCUGCCAGCAGGCGGGACACUGCCCUCCCGAUGCCCCGGGACCCCCCGCACACCACCGCCAGCCUGGACAUGGCCCUGCGCUCACAGCGCAUACAGCCACAGGCGCGUGAAACGGCUCGACGAGUGACACGGACCAAAGUGCCAGCGUCGCUCCGCUCGGUUUAGUAGAGACGUGUAUAUGCGCCGAGCUGUUACUCACCUCAGGCUUGGCUGUUAUAGGUAUUCGGUGCAGGCCUGUUGCAGUUUAACGGAGUUUAUUUCCCGUACGACUCAAGCAGGGGCGUUCAUGGGCGCCGCCAUGUUUGCUGUCGCGUUGUGACGUUUCACGCCGUCAACCGGAAGAUGGCGCUGUUACACAGGAUUGAGGCGCCACGUCGGCGUUGCUGUUUUUUUUUCUAUUACGUGUUCAUUUUAGGCAGACUAAAUAAAAAAAACACAUUUUACAGUUGUUGUGAACAAUUAAGUAGGGAAGCUUUGUUUUUAUUAUUAUAGAUUAUGGGCAUUUUAGUUGCAGUAACAUAAUGUCAAUGUGUUUGUGCCGUAAAUACUUAGAAUAGUUACAGUCCAGUUACUGAUUUCUUUUUAUGCUCACAAGGCUGUUCACACUGAAGUAGCACAAAACAUUGCAAUCGCUGUCUUCCUCUUUAUUUGCAUCAUCUGUCCAUUUGAGAGGAGAACAGUGUGCAGCGGAGUGAGUGAUGCUGACAGUCGGAGGCCUUGUCGUUCAGCUGCAGCAUCCGCCAGACGAGGACCUGAUGGGACCGUAAGUCACGUUCACAUUCUGGGCCCAGCGGAGCGGUAGACUGAUCCAUGUCGGUGCAGCAGCAGGAGAAUGAAACCGCCACAAACGGCACGCGCUCGAAACGCUCCUCUGCACCCCAGUGUUCAUUAAUAUCGACUGUGAUUGUGCAUUUGUAUUCUGACCACAAGACAUUACUCCCUGUUUUCACAUUAGCAAUUUAAUGGCGCUUGCCAACAGGGGCAUAUUUUGCUCUCACACACACACACACACACACACACACACCAACACAUGCAUAAAGACAAACGCACACACACACAUUAUCAGAAACAGUUUUGUGGAACCUCGAUACUGUGCCUGUGUUUCAUUACUGAGCCUUUUUCAGACCUGCGUGACAAAUGACUUCAGUGUAUUACCGGUGAUUUCCUGGACAUUAUUCAUGCAUACAAUUUAAAGUAAAACCUCUGGACAAUAACAGAGUAAAAUUCUUCAGGAAAGCCUAAUUAGUGUAGUUAGUACAGGAACGGGUUUAAAACGCCUUUCACCAAGCGACUGACACACCUACACCUCAAACACUCAUGAAACUCUUGACCUUGAGACUUUACACAGUCGCUGCAACUAUAAACGUUUUACCUUUGCUCACACAUGCAGCUCAUCUACCGCACUGUUUACAAAUCUGCACAUCAAUAAUGUUUCCACCAGAUGUAUGAAAGUCGGUUUAAAUGCGCUCAUUUUCAUUAUUUCUGCUCAGUAUAGUCUUAUGCUCGUACAAUAGAAUAACUUAUUUCCAUGGUAACCCAUCCUCUGCAGGGAGCUGCGCACCGCACAAUGACCUCUCUGGGUGCCUGUCAGUUUCUGUCAGUGUUUCCCAGCUGAACACACAGGGGAGGCUCACCUCUCUCUGCAACACUCUGCUCUGCUGCAAGGCACCAGAGAAGCUCCCUUACUUCUGGAGACACUAAUGUCAACUUUUACUGUGCCUUACCUGAAAUUCAUUUAAUUAGGCACAACUGUCGGUUCACUACUUUAUCAUGGGUGUAAACCUUUUCAGUGUAAUGCAGUCAGUGUGACAGAACGAGAAGAGGAGGGAGGGUGAAAGCGCAUAUUCCUGUCAAAUGUGCUCUGCGUGUGUUUGAGAAUGCUCGUUCUGCACCAUUUGAAUCCAGCAACAUAACACAAGGUCACUGGGGGGAAAGAAACUGCAAUACUGCCACCAAACAAUGUAUGGAAACCAUUAGCUUUUAUUGUUAUAGAGAUUUUUACAAAAUGUGCUAUUCCCUCAAAUACUUCAGAAUGUUCUUUUUUCACAUAAUAGACUUGUGCCAAAUUUCAGUUUCACAAUUUUCAGACAUAGAAGACUAACUACAGACAAAAAAAGGAUCAAGUAAGUCACCUUGGCAUGAGGAAGAUCUGUUACAUCGACUCAAACAAGCUUAAAUUGCCACGUGUUCCAAAAGAUGAAAAUAUAUUAUAGUAACCGUAAGAAAUGCUUCAUGUUUUCAGUCUGGAUUUGUGCAGCCUACGCAUGAUAUACGGAUGAAAGGUCAGUAUGAUUAGAAAGGUUUUGAUAGUGCAUACAUAUGUGCAUCUGUGUUGUAGUAAGUCUGAUGUGUUUAUUAAAGGCGUACCAGUGAAAUGAAAAGACACUCAAAGGAGCUGUUUGAGCAGAAAGCCUGAGGUUCGUGUGCUGAUGGCCAAGACAUCGGGUUAAUUCUACAUGCCGUCCAGGAACACAAGAAACAAAAGGCCCGAACAGUGAUUUGUACCAUCCGUUCCGUUCCCACACUCUCUCUGCAGGUUUAAAACAAAUCUCACCACACACCUGCAAUCAGUUACACAGUGAUUCC